AACGAACGCUGGCGGCGUGCUUAACACAUGCAAGUCGAGUGCACAGUUUGCGUAGCAAUACGUAGAUGGGUGCACGGCGCACGGGUGCGUAACACGUGGGCAAUCUGCCCUCCGAUGGGGAAUAACCCCGCGAAAGCGGGGCUAAUUCCGCAUAAUAUUCCCUGGACCUCGGUUUGGGGAUUCAAAGCCGUAAGGCGUCGGAGGAGGAGCCCGCGCCCGAUUAGCUAGUUGGUGAGGUAAUGGCUCACCAAGGCAAUGAUCGGUAGCUGGUCUGAGAGGAUGGCCAGCCACACUGGAACUGAGACACGGUCCAGACUCCUACGGGAGGCAGCAGUGGGGAAUCUUGCGCAAUGGGCGAAAGCCUGACGCAGCGACGCCGCGUGGGGGAUGAAGCUUCUCGGAGUGUAAACCCCUUUCGACUGGGACGAAUGCCUCGCAAGAGGAGUGACGGUACCAGUAGAAGAAGCCCCGGCUAACUACGUGCCAGCAGCCGCGGUAAGACGUAGGGGGCCAGCGUUGUUCGGAAUUACUGGGUGUAAAGGGUUCGUAGGCGGUGCGGCAAGUUGGGAGUGAAAUCUCUGGGCUUAACCCAGAGGCUGCUUCCAAAACUGCCGUGCUCGAGUGUGGGAGAGGCGCGUGGAAUUGCAGGUGUAGCGGUGAAAUGCGUAGAUAUCUGC
rnacentral:rRNA from 1 species